rnacentral:rRNA from 1 species
CAGUCGCCGCGGUAAUCCGUAGGUGGCAAGCGUUGUCCGGAAUUAUUGGGCGUAGAGGGCUCGCAGGCGGUUUCUUAAGUCUGAUGUGAAAGCCCCCGGCUCAACCGGGGAGGGUCAUUGGAAACUGGGAAACUUGAGUGCAGAAGAGGAGAGUGGAAUUCCACGUGUAGCGGUGAAAUGCGUAGAGAUGUGGAGGAACACCAGUGGCGAAGGCGACUCUCUGGUCUGUAACUGACGCUGAGGAGCGAAAGCGUGGGGAGCGAACAGGAUUAGAUACCCCCGUAGUCCCUGUCUCUUAUAC